rnacentral:rRNA from 1 species
UACGGAGGGUGCAAGCGUUAUCCGGAUUUACUGGGUUUAAAGGGUGCGUAGGUGGGUAGGUAAGUCAGUGGUGAAAUCUUCGAGCUUAACUCGGAAACUGCCAUUGAUACUAUUUAUCUUGAAUACUUUGGAGGUAAGCGGAAUAUGUCAUGUAGCGGUGAAAUGCUUAGAUAUGACAUAGAACACCAGUGGCGAAGGCGAGUCCCUGGACAACACCUGACACUGAGGCACGAAAGCUAGGGGAGCAAACAGG